rnacentral:rRNA from 1 species
GUCUAUGGUCAGACCACCUUGAACGCACCCGGUCUCAUCUGAUCUUGGCAGCUAAGCAGGGUUGGGCCUGGUUAGUACUUGGAUGGGAGUCUGCCUGGGAAUACUGGUGCUGUAGGUU